rnacentral:rRNA from 1 species
GAUGAACGCUGGCGGCGUGCCUAAUACAUGCAAGUCGAGCGAACGGACGAGAAGUUUGCUUCUCUGAUGUUAGCGGCGGACGGGUGAGUAACACGUGGAUAACCUACCUAUAAGACUGGGAUAACUUCGGGAAACCGGAGCUAAUACCGGAUAAUAUUUUGAACCGCAUGGUUCAAAAGUGAAAGACGGUCUUGCUGUCACUUAUAGAUGGAUCCGCGCUGCAUUAGCUAGUUGGUAAGGUAACGGCUUACCAAGGCAACGAUGCAUAGCCGACCUGAGAGGGUGAUCGGCCACACUGGAACUGAGACACGGUCCAGAAUCCUACGGGAGGCAGCAGUAGGGAAUCUUCCGCAAUGGGCGAAAGCCUGACGGAGCAACGCCGCGUGAGUGAUGAAGGGCUUCGGAUCGUAAAACUCUGUUAUUAGGGAAGAACAUAUGUGUAAGUAACUGUGCACAUCUUGACGGGACCUAAUCAGAAAGCCACGGCUAACUACGU